CUACCCUUGACAUGCCACUAACGAAGCAGAGAUGCAUUAGGUGCUCGAAAGAGAAAGUGGACACAGGUGCUGCAUGGCUGUCGUCAGCUCGUGUCGUGAGAUGUUGGGUUAAGUCCCGCAACGAGCGCAACCCUUGUCUCUAGUUGCUACGAAAGGGCACUCUAGAGAGACUGCCGGUGACAAACCGGAGGAAGGUGGGGAUGACGUCAAGUCCUCAUGGCCCUUAUGGGUAGGGCUUCACACGUCAUACAAUGGUGCGUACAGAGGGUUGCCAACCCGCGAGGGGGAGCUAAUCCCAGAAAACGCAUCGUAGUCCGGAUCGUAGUCUGCAACUCGACUACGUGAAGCUGGAAUCGCUAGUAAUCGCGGAUCAGCAUGCCGCGGUGAAUACGUUCC
rnacentral:rRNA from 1 species